rnacentral:snRNA from 1 species
GUGCUCACUUUGGCAGCACAUAUACUAAAAUUGGAACAAUACAGAGAAGAUUAGCAUGGCCUCUGUGCAAGGAUGACACGCAAAUUCAUGAAGCAUUCUGUAUUUUU